UACGUAGGCAGCAAGCGUUGUUCGGAGUUACUGGGCGUAAAGGGUGCGUAGGCGGUUCUGUAAGUAUGGUGUGAAAUCUCCCGGCUUAACUGGGAGGGUGCGCUAUAAACUGCGGGGCUAGAGUGUGGGAGAGGAAAGUGGAAUUCCUGGUGAUAGCGGUGAAAUGCGUAGAUAUCAGGAGGAACACCGGUGGUGUAAACGGCUUUCUGGACCAUAACUGACGCUGAAGCACGAAAGCGUGGGUAGCAAACAGG
rnacentral:rRNA from 1 species